GAGUUCUAUCGGGUAAAGCC
rnacentral:snRNA from 1 species